rnacentral:rRNA from 1 species
AACGAACGCUGGCGGCAUGCCUAACACAUGCAAGUCGAACGGAUGGUCGCAAGACCAUUAGUGGCGGACGGGUGCGUAACGCGUGGGAACCUGCCUUGAAGUUCGGAAUAACUGCGGGAAACUGCAGCUAAAUACCGGAUGUGGCCUGUGGGCCAAAGGGGAAACUCGCUUCAAGAGGGGCCCGCGUCCGAUUAGCUAGUUGGCGGGUAACGGCCCACCAAGGCGAUGAUCGGUAGCGGUCUGAGAGGACGACCAGCCACACUGGAACUGAGAUACGGUCCAGACUCCUACGGGAGGCAGCAGUGGGGAAUAUUGGACAAUGGGGGCAACCCUGAUCCAG